CCUACGGGUGGCAGCAGUGAGGAAUAUUGGUCAAUGGGCGAGAGCCUGAACCAGCCAAGUCGCGUGAGGGAUGACGGUCCUAUGGAUUGUAAACCUCUUUUGUCGGGGAACAAAGGCGUCCACGUGUGGACUGAUGAGUGUACCCGAAGAAAAAGCAUCGGCUAACUCCGUGCCAGCAGCCGCGGUAAUACGGAGGAUGCGAGCGUUAUCCGGAUUUAUUGGGUUUAAAGGGUGCGCAGGCGGCGAGUUAAGUCAGCGGUAAAAUUUCGGGGCUCAACCCCGACAAGCCGUUGAAACUGGCUUGCUAGAGUGGGCGAGAAGUAUGCGGAAUGCGUGGUGUAGCGGUGAAAUGCAUAGAUAUCACGCAGAACUCCGAUUGCGAAGGCAGCAUACCGGCGCCCAACUGACGCUCAGGCACGAAAGCGUGGGUAUCGAACAGGAUUAGAUACCCGGGUAGUC
rnacentral:rRNA from 1 species